rnacentral:tRNA from 1 species
UUCUAAUUAGUAUAAAUAGUACCCCUGACUUCCAAUCAGUAAGUUUAAGAAUAAAUUAGAAA